rfam:Camelus ferus unplaced genomic scaffold scaffold2337, whole genome shotgun sequence.
GAGGAUAUAGCUUAGUGGUAGAGUGCACACCUAUCAUGUAUGAGGUCCUGGGUUCAAUUUCCAGUACCUCCA